AUCCUUACCUUGCAAGGGAGAUAACAUAGUGUGACUUUCCCAGGGCGAGGCUUCUCCAUUGCACUCCGGAUGUGUUGACCCCUGCAAUUUCCCCAAAUGUGGGGAACUCAUCUGCACAAAUUGUGGUAGUGGGGGACUGUGUGCAUGCUCUUCCUUG